rnacentral:rRNA from 1 species
AAGUACGAGGUGAGAGAAAGUAAGCAAGGGCAGACGGUGGAUGCCUUGGCUCUCGGAGGCGACGAAGGACGUGAUAAGCUGCGAAAAGCCCGGGGGAGGCGCAAAUAGCCCUUGAUCCCGGGAUAUCCGAAUGGGGCAACCCGGCAGGCUGAAGGCCUGUCAUCCCGUAAGGGAGGCGAACGUGGGGAACUGAAACAUCUAAGUACCCAUAGGAGGAGAAAAUAAACAAUGAUUCCGUAAGUAGUGGCGAGCGAACACGGAAGAGCCCAAACCCAUGUCGUCUAGGCGACACGGGGGUUGUAGGACCACGACGUGGCAAGAUAGAGUCAAGUGGAACGCCUUGGAAAGGGCGACCGUAGAGGGUGAUAGUCCCGUACACGACUGACGAUUGAAGCCUAGUGGUAUCCUGAGUAGCGCGGGGCACGAGAAAUCUUGCGUGAAACAGCGGGGCCCAUCCCGUAAGGCUAAAUACUCCCGAGAGACCGAUAGCGAACCAGUACCGUGAGGGAAAGGUGAAAAGAACCCCGAGCAGGGGAGUGAAAUAGACCCUGAACCCGUCUGCCUACAAGCGGUCGGAGCGUCGUAAUGACGUGACGGCGUGCCUUUUGCAUAAUGAACCUACGAGUUACCUUCCCCGGCAAGGUUAAGUACCUAAGGUACGGAGCCGAAGCGAAAGCGAGUCUGAACAGGGCGCCAAGUCGGGGGGGGUAGACGCGAAACCGAGUGAUCUACCCUUGGCCAGGUUGAAGGUUGGGUAACACCAACUGGAGGACCGGAUGGGUAAGCGUUGAAAAGCUUUCCAAUGAGCUGAGGGUAGGGGUGAAAGGCUAAUCAAACUCGGAGAUAGCUCGUACUCCCCGAAAUGCAUUUAGGUGCAGCCUCUUUAUAGUAUAUCGUGAGGUAGAGCGACUGAUUGGAUGCGAGGGCUUCACCGCCUAUCAAGUCCAGAUAAACUCCGAAUGCGCGAUAUAUAUUUACAGGGAGUGAGGGCGCGGGUGCUAAGGUCCGUGUCCGAGAGGAGAAGAAUCCAGACCACCGGCUAAGGCCCCCAAAUGAUCGUUAAGUUGAACUAACGAGGUCGGAUCGCAGAGACAGCUAGGAUGUUGGCUUGGAAGCAGCCAUUCAUUUAAAGAGUGCGUAACAGCUCACUAGUCGAGCGAUCUGGCGUGGAUAAUAAUCGGGCAUAAACGAUCUGCCGAAGCCGUGGAUGUCGCAAGACAUGGUAGGGGAGCAUUCCAUGCGGCGUCGAAGAUGAGGGAUGACCCUUGUUGGAGCGCAUGGAAAAGCAAAUGUAGGUAUGAGUAACGAUAAGGGGGGCGAGAAACCCCCCCGCCGAAAGACCAAGGUUUCCUGAUCAACGCUAAUCGGAUCAGGGUGAGUCGGGACCUAAGGCAAAGCCGAACGGCGCCGCCGAUGGAAGAAUGGGUUAAUAUUCCCAUACUGCCUCAUGGAGUGACGUGGAGACGGAGAAGUGACAGUCCUGCCGGCUGACGGAAUAGCCGGUUGAAGGGUGUAGAUAUUGAUUCCCGUAGGCAAAUCCGCGGGGAGAGUCGAACCUGAGAGUAUACGGAGCGCUUGCGCAACGUAAUAUGGACGUAACCAUGCUCCCGAGAAAAUCCGCUAAACUUAUCCAUGCGGCACCCGUACCGUAAACGGACACACGUGGUCGGGUUGAGAAUACUGAGGCGCUCGAGUGAUUCACGGUUAAGGAACUAGGCAAAUUGACCCUGUAACUUCGGGAUAAAGGGUCCUCGUCGUAAGGCGAGGCGCAGAGAAUAGGUCCAGGCAACUGUUUAACAAAAACACAUGGCUGUGCUAAAUGGAAACAUGAUGUAUACAGCCUGACACCUGCCCGGUGCCGGAAGGUUAAGAGGAGAUGUCAUCCGCGAGGAGAAGCGUUGAAUUGAAGCCCCGGUAAACGGCGGCCGUAACUAUAACGGUCCUAAGGUAGCGAAAUUCCUUGUCGGGUAAGUUCCGACCUGCACGAAUGGUGUAAUGAUCUGGACACUGUCUCAACCGUGAGCUCGGUGAAAUUGUAGUAUCGGUGAAGAUGCCGAUUACCCGCGAUGGGACGAAAAGACCCCGUGAACCUUUACUAUAGCUUUACAUUGAGUUUGGGCAGACGAUGUGUAGGAUAGGCCGGAGGCAUUGAAGCAGGUACGCCAGUAUUUGUGGAGCCGACGUUGAAAUACGGCCCUUCGGUUGUUUGAGUUCUAACUCCUAGGCAGGAGGACACUGUAUGGUGGGUAGUUUGACUGGGGUGGUCGCCUCCAAAAGCGUAACGGAGGCUUCUAAAGGUGCCCUCAGACCGAUUGGUAACCGGUCGCAGAGUGUAAUGGCAUAAGGGCGCUUGACUGGGAGACAUACAAGUCGAUCAGGUAGGAAACUAGAGCAUAGUGAUCCGGUGGUUCCGCAUGGAAGGGCCAUCGCUCAAAGGAUAAAAGGUACUCCGGGGAUAACAGGCUGAUCAUUCCCAAGAGCUCAUAUCGACGGAAUGGUUUGGCACCUCGAUGUCGGCUCGUCACAUCCUGGGGCUGGAGAAGGUCCCAAGGGUUGGGCUGUUCGCCCAUUAAAGUGGCACGCGAGCUGGGUUCAGAACGUCGUGAGACAGUUCGGUCUCUAUCUAUCGUGGGCGCAGGAGAUUUGAGGGGCUCUGACACUAGUACGAGAGGACCGUGUCGGACGUACCACUGGUUUACCGGUUGUCCCGCCAGGGGCACCGCCGGGUAUCUAAGUACGGAUCGGAUAAGUGCUGAAAGCAU